rnacentral:lncRNA from 1 species
UUUUUCUUUUGUUUCUGAGGCAUAAUGUUGGCACGAACAGCCUUAGCAGCAGAAAUGGUAUCACUUUGGAUCUGCAUCAGUGUGCCCUUCUUCUUCCGAUCCGUCGAUGCGGAAGCCGCCACAGUAGCCGUCUGUGAAGGUAGCGAGGGUGGCGGUGCAGCAGGCGUCGACUGUGAUGAAGUGGAGGAGGUGGAUGAUCGAUGCAGAAGCCGCCACAGUCGCCGUCUGUGAAGGUAGUGAGGUUGGUGGUGCAGCAGGCGUCGACUGUGAUGAAGUGGAGGAGGUGGAUGAUGGGUCUGAUGUUAUCAGAUCCAUUAACGUCGUACCAGUCGAAUCCUGC